rnacentral:lncRNA from 1 species
ACACAUCUUUCAGGUGGGAAACAAAGAGAAUAUACUCAAAAUGGAAUUUUGAACAUUUACCUAAUGCCUUAGUAAUAAAUCCAUUUCCUCCAUGGAAGAUAUGGUCUUUACUCAUUUAUGCAUGGACAGUGAAGUUCUUCUUUUCUUGGUGCAAAAUUUUGUCAUCUUCUUAUAAUUCUCUAGAUAUAAGUGAACCAGGACACCAGCUGAGUGCCAGUGUCUUCUGGACCUUACAAGCGAGAUGCAUCUAUGAAGUCUCAGCAAUAUAGAUGCUUAAGCAUAACCUUGCACAAUAACAGCACCAGUUGACUUGCCACUGUGGAAGGUAGGUUUGGCUCUCUUCCAAAGCACAAGUAGAGAAGUGAGGUCUCUGAGGAAAUACAAGAGGCAAGAGGCAGGUGACAGAUCUGCAAGAAAAUCCCUAGGAAAAAAAAAAUAGAACUGACUUUGUAAUCACAGCAGCUACAAUCAUGGACCUUUGUGGUAAAUUACUCUAGAUGCAAAAAUGAAACAAUAAAUGGUAGGGAAAAUACAGUGAUUUGAGGCAGAUAUUGGACCAAAGACUCUUGGAAGAAUGAGGUCAGGUUCUCUUCCGUGAGAAAAGAAUAGCUGCCCUGGAGUCAGAUCAUCAUGGAGGAGAAAUGUUAUGAAGAUGAUUUUACUAGAUGUUAACAUCAUUGCAGCCUAGAAACAUCUGCUGCCUUCAGGACACACACUGAAACAAUCUUGCUCCCAGAGAGGAGUUUUGUUCAGGACCCAUUAACUGGAAUAGAAAGGUUCCCUAGGACUAAACCAUGUCCCCUUCCUGUUUUUUUUCCCUAAUAGCCACAAUGGGAGUGAUCAUAACUUUGCAGCUCCCAAAAUCUGAAUGUGGCUUGAAGAGUUCUAUGGCCAUCUCAUCGACCAGAUGAUAAGAGGGCAAGGUUGAUUCUGAAAGAUGACAACUUUAUAAUUUUGCCCAUUCUGUCCAUUAGCCCACUCAGCAUGCACUUGUACACAUAUUUCAAUUACAAAUGUCAAUGAAAAUGCUACUAUAUUAUGCUACAUUCUUUUGAUAAAAACAUUUUCAAUUUUUUUCCAAAUUUAACAGACAAAAAUUCCUACUGGUAAUUGUGCCUAUCUCUGGUAGACUAUUGCCUAUCAUCGCCUUAUGUUAAUUACACCUUCAAAUUU